rnacentral:rRNA from 1 species
CUGCUGCCUCCCGUAGGAGUCUGGUCCGUGUCUCAGUACCAGUGUGGGGGACCUUCCUCUCAGAACCCCUACGCAUCGUCGCCUCGGUGGGCCGUUACCCCGCCGACUAGCUAAUGCGCCGCAUGGCCAUCCGCAGCCGAUGAAUCUUUAACCGCCGAGGGAUGCCCCUCUGCGGUGUUACGCGGUAUUAGACGGAAUUUCUUCCGCUUAUCCCCCUGCUGCGGGCAGGUUCCAUACGUGUUACUCACCCGUGCGCCGGUCGCCGGG